rnacentral:rRNA from 1 species
AACGAACGCUGGCGGCAUGCCUAACACAUGCAAGUCGAACGGUCGAGGAGGCAACCCCUCGAGAGUGGCGAACGGGUGAGUAAUAUAUCGGAACGUUCCCAGUCGUGGGGGAUAACGUCGCGAAAGUUACCCUAAUACCGCAUACGAUCUAAGGAUGAAAGCGGUGGAUCCCAAGACCUCGCUCGAUUGGAGCGGCGGAUAUCAGAUUAGGUAGUUGGUGAGGUAAAGGCUCACCAGGCAAAGGAUCUGUCGCUGGUCUGAGAGGACGACCGGUCGAUCUGGAACGGGGACGCGGUCCAGAUCCCUCCGAGAGGCACCAGUCGGGAAUUUUGGACAUGGGGCGAAAGUCUGAAUCAGCCAUUGGGCGUGAAGGAUAAAGGCCCUCGGGUUGUAAACUGCUUUUUUCCGGAACGAAAAGGUCUCUCUUAAUCCGGAGGACUACUGACGGUACCGUAAGAAUAAGCACCGGCUAACUACGUGCCAGCAGCCGCCGUAACAC